rnacentral:rRNA from 1 species
AACGAACGCUGGCGGCAUGCCUAACACAUGCAAGUCGAACGAGACCUUCGGGUUUGGUGGCGCACGGGUGCGUAACGGGUGGGAAACUGCCCUUAGGUUCGGAAUAACUCCCCGAAUGGGGUGCUAAUACGGGAUCAUGUCUUCGGAACAACGAUUGGUCGCGUUUGGAUGGGCGCGCGUUGGCUUAGCUUGUUGUUAGGGUAAAAGCCUACCAAGGCGACGAUACAUAGCUGGUCUGAGAGGAUGAUCAGCCACACUGGCACGGAGAGACGGCCCAGACUACUACGCGAGGCAGCAGUGGGUGAUAUAGGACUGUGGGGUAUAUGCUGAUCCAGCAAGGCCGCGUGAGUGAUGAGAGCCGUGGGGUUGUAAAGCACGUUUACCCGGGAUGAUAAUGACAGUACCAGGAGAAUAAGCACCGGCUAACUCCGUG